rnacentral:rRNA from 1 species
UACAGAGGGUGCGAGCGUUAAUCGGAGUAACUGGGCGUAAAGGGCACGUAGGCGGUUAUAUUAGUCUGAUGUGAAAGACCUGGGCUUAACCUGGGAUGUGCAUUGGAAACGGUAUGGCUAGAGUAUGGGAGAGGGAAGUGGAAUUUCCGGUGUAGCGGUGAAAUGCGUAGAGAUCGGAAAGAACACCAACGGCGAAAGCACUCUGCUGGGCCGACACUGACACUGAGAGACGAAAGCUAGGGGAGCAAAUGGG